rnacentral:lncRNA from 1 species
GGAAUUUUAUCUUGACCUGCAGAGUAAUGCUGCUGGAACAUGCGUAAUGCAAGAUACAUUCAGCUGUAAUAUUUUCCAAGAAAGUGAAUUCAUGAGAGACUCUUGAACCAACUUUCUAAGAUGUAUCCCUAAAAGCAGAAAAUGUGCAGCAAGUAACGUGACUAGUGGAUUUGGACAAAUUAGUUCAAAAGACAAACAGAUAGAAGAAGCACCACAGCAGUGAGCAGGAGCUGAAGAUGAGAAAGGUGGAAGACUUGAAGACAUCACGGCAUUGGCCAAA